UAUAGCUCAGUGGCACAGCGCUUGCCUGACAAGCAUGAAGUCCUGAAUUCAAUUUCCAGUA
rnacentral:tRNA from 1 species